UACGUAGGGGGCAAGCGUUGUCCGGAAUCAUUGGGCGUAAAGCGCGUGUAGGCGGCCAGGUAGGUCGGUUGUGAAAAUUGGAGGCUCAACCUCCAGACGUCGAUCGAAACCAUCUGGCUAGAGUCCGGAAGAGGAGAAUGGAAUUCCUGGUGUAGCGGUGAAAUGCGCAGAUAUCAGGAAGAACACCGAUGGCGAAGGCAGUUCUCUGGGACGGUACUGACGCUGAGACGCGAAAGCGUGGGGAGCGAACAGG
rnacentral:rRNA from 1 species